AAAGCACAAGGGGAGCCGAAGCUCCCCUCAAAUCAGAUCGUGCUUUGUUCUUCUUGUGCUGCCGGGCCGUUGUUGUUGUUGGUUGCCCGUUCCGGCGUUGGCCGGGGCUGUCCCAAGUCGGGACUCAAGAACAAACGGAUUACUUUGGACGCUGAUCGUGCCGCACCUUGCGGUCAACCGGUAUCGGACGCUGCCUCGGGGCAGUU
rnacentral:misc_RNA from 1 species